AUGAACGCUGGCGGCGUGCCUAAUACAUGCAAGUCGAGCGAACAGACGAGGAGCUUGCUCCUCUGACGUUAGCGGCGGACGGGUGAGUAACACGUGGAUAACCUACCUAUAAGACUGGGAUAACUUCGGGAAACCGGAGCUAAUACCGGAUAACAUGUUGAACCGCAUGGUUCAACAGUGAAAGACGGUCUUGCUGUCACUUAUAGAUGGAUCCGCGCCGCAUUAGCUAGUUGGUAAGGUAACGGCUUACCAAGGCAACGAUGCGUAGCCGACCUGAGAGGGUGAUCGGCCACACUGGAACUGAGACACGGUCCAGACUCCUACGGGAGGCAGCAGUAGGGAAUCUUCCGCAAUGGGCGAAAGCCUGACGGAGCAACGCCGCGUGAGUGAAGAAGGUCUUCGGAUCGUAAAACUCUGUUAUUAGGGAAGAACAAAUGUGUAAGUAACUAUGCACGUCUUGACGGUACCUAAUCAGAAAGCCACGGCUAAUUACGUG
rnacentral:rRNA from 1 species